rnacentral:rRNA from 1 species
UACGGGGGGGGCUAGCGUUGUUCGGAAUUACUGGGCGUAAAGGGCGCGUAGGCGGUCUGCUAAGUUGGAUGUGAAAACUCUGGGCUUAACCCAGAGCCUGCAUUCAAUACUGACAGGCUAGAGUUCUGGAGGGGAUAGCGGAAUUCCUGGUGUAGUGGUGAAAUACGUAGAGAUUGGGAGGAACACCAGUGGCGAAGGCGGCUAUCUGGACGGUUUCUGACGCUAAGACGCGAAAGCGUGGGGAGCAAACAGG